AUCAUAUAUUUAUAAUAUUAUCAUACAUUUAAAAUCAAAUAAAAUAAUAUCAUAUACCUUCUCACAUACACACCUAUCAAAAACUUAAAACCUUUCAAAACCUCUUGGUAUAUUCAAAUUAGGAUUCUUCAUUCAUGGAAUCAUUAUUCCAAGGGUUUUGAGAUGUCUUAUGAAAUGAUUUUGGCAGAAGAGGAUGUAAAAAAUUUCGAAUAAAAAGUAGUCAGCAAAACAUAUGUUUUUUUUGAAAAUUUUUAGAUAAUUAAAUCAGAGAAUAGGGUUGGACAUAUGAGUAACCCAUUCGAGUUCGGAUAGAACCCGUUCGGGUUUGAGAUUAAUGGUAUAUGAUUUACUACCCAAUAGAAUAAUUCUAAACAUAUGUUUUGUUGAUAUUAUCUAUAUUGUUUAGUGUUUAACAUUAUACACUUGUAGUUUGAUUGUUAAUUUAAGAGUUUCACAUGUAGUAUACCAUCUUGUAUUAAUAUCGAUCUAAACCCGUCAAUUCUAGGAUUUUCCAGCUUGUAUUAAAAAUUGAAUCACAUCUAAUAUGUUAUUAACUAUUGUAGUAUAUAAGAUUAUAAAUUUUCAAUAUAAUAUGUAUGAAAUUGAAUAUAAAUAUUUCAAAUUUAUGUCCCGUUACUCAGUAGAAAGUUUUCUUAAAUCUAUUUUUCACCCGUUAUAAUAUUAUUUCAUGUAUUGAACAAUUUAUAUUCGUUUUUAAAAAUUCAAAUUAUGGCAUAUGCGGAAAAACUCUAAUUAUUUUUUUAUAAUGAUGAUAUUAUUAUUCCGUAAAAAUAGAAUCAUAUAAAGAUGAGAAGUGAACUAUAAUAAUUAAUAAAAAA
rnacentral:sRNA from 1 species